UCCCUACGGGGGGCAGCAGUGGGGAAUAUUGCGCAAUGGGGGCAACCCUGACGCAGCAACGCCGCGUGCGGGAUGAAGGCUUUCGGGUUGUAAACCGCUUUCAGCAGGGAUGACAUCGACAGUACCUGCAGAAGAAGCCCCGGCUAACUACGUGCCAGCAGCCGCGGUAAUACGUAGGGGGCAAGCGUUAUCCGGAUUUACUGGGUGUAAAGGGAGCGUAGACGGCAUUGCAAGUCUGAUGUGAAAGAUUGGGGCUCAACCCCAGGCCUGCAUUGGAAACUGUAAAGCUGGAGUACAGGAGAGGU
rnacentral:rRNA from 1 species